rnacentral:rRNA from 1 species
UACGGCUCAGUAACACGUGGACAACCUAACCUAUGGAGGGGGAUAACCCCGGGAAACUGGGGAUAAUACCCCAUAGACUAUGGAAGCUGGAAUGCUCUGUAGUUGAAAGGUCCGCCGCCAUAGGAUGGGUCUGCGGCCGAUUAGGUUGUUGUUGGGGUAACGGCCCAACAAGCCUGUAAUCGGUACGGGUUGUGGGAGCAAGAGCCCGGAGAUGGAUUCUGAGACACGAAUCCAGGCCCUACGGGGCGCAGCAGGCGCGAAAACUUUACAAUGCGGGAAACCGUGAUAAGGGAACUCCGAGUGCCCGUAAAAUCGGGCUGUCCAUCUGUUUAAAUAACAGGUGAAGAAAGGGCCGGGCAAGACCGGUGCCAGCCGCCGCGGUAAUACCGGCGGCUCGAGUGGUGGCCACUAUUACUGGGCUUAAAGCGUUCGUAGCUGGUCUGUUAAGUCUCUGGGGAAAUCUACUGGCUUAACCAAUAGGCGUUUCAGGGAUACUGGCAGACUAGGGACCGGGAGAGGUGAGAGGUACUCCAGGGGUAGGAGUGAAAUCCUGUAAUCCUUGGGGGACCACCUGUGGCGAAGGCGUCUCACCAGAACGGCUCCGACAGUGAGGGACGAAAGCUGGGGGAGCAAACCGGAUUAGAUACCCGGGUAGUCCCAGCUGUAAACGAUGCGCGUUAGGUGUAUCGGUGACCACGAGUCACCGAGGUGCCGAAGAGAAAUCGUGAAACGUGCCGCCUGGGAAGUACGGUCGCAAGGCUGAAACUUAAAGGAAUUGGCGGGGGAGCAC